GUAGGUGGCAAGCGUUGUCCGGAAUUAUUGGGCGUAAAGCGCGCGCAGGUGGUUCUUUAAGUCUGAUGUGAAAGCCCCCGGCUCAACCGGGGAGGGUCAUUGGAAACUGGGGAACUUGAGUGCAGGAGAGGAAAGUGGAAUUCCACGUGUAGCGGUGAAAUGCGUAGAUAUGUGAAGGAACACCAGUGGCGAAGGCGACUUUCUGGCCUGUAACUGACACUGAGGCGCGAAAGCGUGGGGAGCAAACAGGGAUUAGAUACCCUGGUAGUCCACGCCGUAAACGAUGAGUGCUAAGUGUUGGGGGGGUUUCCCGCCCCUCAGUGCUGCAGCUAACGCAUUAAGCACUCCGCCUGGGGAGUACGGUCGCAAGACUG
rnacentral:rRNA from 1 species